UACGAAGGGGGCUAGCGUUGUUCGGAAUUACUGGGCGUAAAGGGCGCGUAGGCGGUGUGUCAAGUCAGGCGUGAAAGCCCCGGGCUCAACCUGGGAACCGCGCCUUGAGACUGGCAGCGCUCGAGGUUCGGGAGAGGAUGGUGGAAUUCCCAGUGUAGAGGUGAAAUUCGUAGAUAUUGGGAAGAACACCGAUGGCGAAGGCAGCCAUCUGGACCGACACUGACGCUGAGGCGCGAAAGCGUGGGGAGCAAACAGG
rnacentral:rRNA from 1 species